rnacentral:rRNA from 1 species
GAUGAACGCUGGCGGCGUGCUUAACACAUGCAAGUCGAACGGAAAGGCCCUGCUGUGUAGUGUACUCGUGUGGCGAACAGGGGAUUAACACUUGGGUGAUCCGCCCUGUGGUUUGGGAUAAGCCUGGGGGAAUGGGUCUAAUACCGAAUAUGACCGCUUCUUGGAUGGGGUGGUGGAAAGCUUGUCUUAAUGGGAUGAGCUCGCGGCCUAGCUUAUUGGGUGGGGGGUAGGGGACUGACUUAGAAUCGACGGGUCGGCUAUCAGAGAAGGAUACGCUGCCACGUUGAAUACUGAAAUGCGGACCAUACUCCUAAUGGAAGCAGGAGGUGGUAAUGGUGAAUAGUGGGAACAGGGCUGAAGCAUGGACGCCGCGUGAAGAAUGACGGACUACUGUUUGUAAACUCCUUCCACAACCGACGUAGCUUUUGUGAAGUUAGGGUGAGAAGAAGCAACGGCUAACUACGUGCCAGCAUCCGCGGUAAUACGUAGGGUGCGAGCGUUGUCCGGAAUUACUGGACGUAGAUAGCUCGUAGGUGGUUUGUCGCGUCGUCUGUGAAUUCCGGGGCUUAACUCCGGGCGUGCAGGCGAUACGGGCAUAACUUGAGUACUGUAGGGGUAACUGGAAUUCCUGGUGUAGCGGUGAAAUGCGCAGAUAUCAGGAGGAACACCGAUGGCGAAGGCAGGUUACUGGGCAGUUACUGACGCUGAGGAGCGAAAGCAUGGGUAGCGAACAGGAUUAGAUACCCUGGUAGUCCAUGCCGUAAACGGUGGGCGCUAGGUGUGAGGGUCUUUUCACGACUUUCGUGCCGUAGCUAACGCAUUAAGCGCCCCGCCUGGGGAGUACGGCCGCAAGGCUAAAACUCAAAGGAAUUGACGGGGGCCCGCACAAGCGGCGGAGCAUGUGGAUUAAUUCGAUGCAACGCGAAGAACCUUACCUGGGCUUGACAUACACCGGAUCGGGCUAGAGAUAGUCUUUCCCUUUGUGGCUGGUGUACAGGUGGUGCAUGGUUGUCGUCAGCUCGUGUCGUGAGAUGUUGGGUUAAGUCCCGCAACGAGCGCAACCCUUGUCUUAUGUUGCCAGCAUUUGGUUGGGGACUCAUGAGAGACUGCCGGGGUCAACUCGGAGGAAGGUGGGGAUGACGUCAAAUCAUCAUGCCCCUUAUGUCCAGGGCUUCACACAUGCUACAAUGGUCGGUACAACGCGCAGCGACACUGUGAGGUGGAGCGAAUCGCUGAAAGCCGGCCUUAGUUCGGAUUGGGGUCUGCAACUCGACCCCAUGAAGUCGGAGUCGCUAGUAAUCGCAGAUCAGCAAUGCUGCGGUGAAUACGUCCCCGGGCCU